GAUGAACGCUAGCGGCAGGCUUAAUACAUGCAAGUCGAGGGGCAGCAUGACUGUAGCAAUACAGUUGAUGGCGACCGGCAAACGGGUGCGGAACACGUACAGAACCUUCCUUCGAGCGGGGAAUAGCCCAGAGAAAUUUGGAUUAAUACCCCAUAGUAUAUUUGAAAGGCAUCUUUUAAAUAUUAAAGAUUUAUCACUUGAAGAUGGCUGUGCGGCUGAUUAGGUAGUGGGCGGGGUAACGGCCCACCAAGCCUGCGAUCAGUAACUGGUGUGAGAGCACGACCAGUCACACGGGCACUGAGACACGGGCCCGACUCCUACGGGAGGCAGCAGUAAGGAAUAUUGGUCAAUGGACGAAAGUCUGAACCAGCCAUGCCGCGUGGAGGAUGAAGGUCCUCUGGAUUGUAAACUUCUUUUAUAUGGGACGAAAAAAGACUUUUCUAAGUCGUCUGACGGUACCAUAUGAAUAAGCACCGGCUAACUCCGUGCCAGCAGCCGCCGUAACAC
rnacentral:rRNA from 1 species